rnacentral:rRNA from 1 species
UACGGGGGGGGCAAGCGUUGUUCGGAAUUACUGGGCGUAAAGGGCUCGUAGGCGGCCAACUAAGUCAUACGUGAAAUCCCUCGGCUUAACCGGGGAACUGCGUCUGAUACUGGAUGGCUUGAGUUCGGGGAGAGGGAUGCGGAAUUCCAGGUGUAGCGGUGAAAUGCGUAGAUAUCUGGAGGAACACCGGUGGCGAAGGCGGCAUCCUGGACCGAUACUGACGCUGAGGAGCGAAAGCCAGGGGAGCAAACGGG